UUUUCAAAGUCCCGCCACUCAACACGCUUUACCUUUAUGCAAAAUCAAAACUUUCUCUCUCUCUCUCUCUUGCACACCAGUACACACCAGCACCUCCAUCUACUCUCUCUCUCUCUCAACUCCAAAGCUCGACAGCCACUGCCUAGCAUCGCCUCCGGAGAUGGAGGCACUCCGUCGAACAUCACCAAUUCCAACUAGACCUGCCUUUGUCUCGUCGGAAAAUGCUUAAAAUCAUCUCUCCUUCUCAUUGUUUCCAACCCCCAACACCGAAAGUUUUCUCACCGCUUCUGACACCUGACGUUGCAAGAAGGUUGUCCAUUAUUACCAAUCUUUGUUUUUCUCUUCAAAAACUCUAUGUUGAGUGUAUGCGAUGAUCGGAGAGUUGAUGAGCUAGAAGACUUGGGAGUUUGGCGAUAGCAGCUGAGAGAGCUGCUUGGGCUUGCUGAAGAAUUUAGAACGCGAUGAGAUUUUGGAGUUGGCUUUUGCCAUCAGUGCCAGUCUCUUCUCCACACUUGUAUUCACUCCCUUGUCAACCCUAAGAAUUACCCAUCACCAUCACCACCUUUCUGUUUUUUUUUUUUUUCUUUUUGGGUUUGUUAAUUCGAUUCAUGAGUACUGUUUGUCCACUAAUUAUAGUGUACCAACUGGGUUAGCAUGUUUUUCUUGAAUUCUAAUACUUAAUUGGGGUUUGAUUC